rnacentral:tRNA from 1 species
GGCACAGCUGGUAGUAACAGCGCUGCUACAAGUAGCUGGAUCGCCCCCCUCCUAAGGGGAAGGUCGCCCGUUCGAAUCGGGCCGGGGUCACCA